rnacentral:rRNA from 1 species
GACGAACGCUGGCGGCGUGCCUAAUACAUGCAAGUCGAGCGCAGGAAACUGACGGAACUCUUCGGAGGGAAGGCAGUGGAAUGAGCGGCGGACGGGUGAGUAACACGUAAGGAACCUGCCUCAAGGAUUGGGAUAACUCCGAGAAAUCGGAGCUAAUACCGGAUAGUUCAACGGACCGCAUGGUCCGCUGAUGAAAGGCGCUCCGGCGUCACCUUGAGAUGGCCUUGCGGUGCAUUAGCUAGUUGGUGGGGUAACGGCCCACCAAGGCGACGGUGCAUAGCGGACCUGAGAGGGAGAUAGGCCACACUGGGAGUGAGCCACGGACCAGAAUCCUACGGGAGGCAGCAGUAGGGAAUCUUCCACAAUGGACGAAAGUCUGAUGGAGCAACGCCGCGUGAGUGAUGAAGGUUUUCGGAUCGUAAAACUCUGUUGUAAGGGAAGAACACGUACGAGAGGAAAUGCUCGUACCUUGACGGUACCUUACGAGAAAGCCACGGCUAACUACGUGCCAGCCGCCGCCGUAA